rnacentral:rRNA from 1 species
AGAGAGAGACAUGCGCGCAUAUCAAUAAGCGGAGGAAAAGAAACUAACAAGGAUUCCCCUAGUAACGGCGAGUGAAGCGGGAAGAGCUCAAAUUUGAAAUCUUAAAGGGUUUCCCUUUACGAAUUGUAGUUUAAAGAAGUGUUUUCUGUUGAGGUUUUGGUAAAAGUUCUUUGGAAUAGGACAUCAUAGAGGGUGAGAAUCCCGUAUUUGACCUUUACUUUCAACUUUGUGAUACACUUUCAAAGAGUCGGAUUGUUUGGGAAUGCAGUCCAAAAUGGGUGGUAAAUUUCAUCUAAAGCUAAAUAUUGGCGAGAGACCGAUAGCGAACAAGUACCGUGAGGGAAAGAUGAAAAGAACUUUGAAAAGAGAGUUAAACAGUACGUGAAAUUGUCAAAAGGGAAGCGUUUGACACCAGUGUUGUUUUUCUGAAAAUCAAUUAAAGAACUGUUUAUGCUAAGCUGUUUAGACUUUAUCAGCUAUCUGUUUAGUUUUGAGCUUUUCUUUAAUGCACUUUUCAGUUAACAAGUCAACAUCAAUUUCUUUUGCUGUAAAGAAGCUUGAGGAAGGUGGCUUGAGAUUCGUCUUAAGUGUUUAUAGCCUCUUGCCUAUGCAGUCGGAGAGAUUGAGGUCUGCAGCGUAGAUCCUUCGGGGCUAAAUGCAUUUGUGCUAAGUUAUAACAUUUUAUAGACAACUUGUUGACUAUGAUUUGUCUUGUAGCUUACUCGCUUAUGUUAUUUUACCUACGCUUAGGAUGUUGACGCAUGAGAUAUACGC